CCUACGGGCUGCAGCAGUGGGGAAUAUUGGGCAAUGGGCGCAAGCCUGACCCAGCAACGCCGCGUGAAGGAAGAAGGCUUUCGGGUUGUAAACUUCUUUUCUCAGGGACGAAGAAAGUGACGGUACCUGAGGAAUAAGCCACGGCUAACUACGUGCCAGCGGCCGCGGUAAUACGGAGGUGGCAAGCGUUAUCCGGAUUUACUGGGUGUAAAGGGCGUGUAGGCGGGAAAGCAAGUCAGAUGUGAAAACCAUGGGCUCAACCUGUGGCCUGCAUUUGAAACUGGUUUUCUUGAGUACUGGAGAGGCAGACGGAAUUCCUAGUGUAGCGGUGAAAUGCGUAGAUAUUAGGAGGAACACCAGUGGCGAAGGCGGUCUGCUGGACAGCAACUGACGCUGAGGCGCGAAAGCGUGGGGAGCAAACAGGAUUAGAUACCCCUGUAGUC
rnacentral:rRNA from 1 species